UACGAAGGGGGCUAGCGUUGCUCGGAAUCACUGGGCGUAAAGGGUGCGUAGGCGGAUCGUUAAGUCGGGGGUGAAAUCCUGGAGCUCAACUCCAGAACUGCCUUCGAUACUGGCGAUCUUGAGUCCGGAAGAGGUGAGUGGAACUCCUAGUGUAGAGGUGGAAUUCGUAGAUAUUAGGAAGAACACCAGUGGCGAAGGCGGCUCACUGGUCCGGUACUGACGCUGAGGUGCGAAAGCGUGGGGAGCAACAGGG
rnacentral:rRNA from 1 species